GACGAGGGAUCCUAGCGUUGUUCGGAAUUACUGGGCGUAAAGCGUGCGCAGGCGGUUCGCUAAGACAGAUGUGAAAUCCCCGGGCUUAACCUGGGAACUGCAUUUGUGACUGGCGGGCUAGAGUAUGGGCAGAGGGGGGUAGAAUUCCACGUGUAGCAGUGAAAUGCGUAGAGAUGUGGAGGAAUACCGAUGGCGAAGGCAGCCCCCUGGGCCAAUACUGACGCUCAUGCACGAAAGGCGUGGGGAGC
rnacentral:rRNA from 1 species